rnacentral:rRNA from 1 species
CCUACGGGCGGCAGCAGUGGGGAAUAUUGCGCAAUGGGCGAAAGCCUGACGCAGCGACGCCGCGUGAGGGAUGAAGGUCUUCGGAUCGUAAACCUCUGUCAGCAGGGAAGAACGGUCACUGUGCUAAUCAGCAGUGAAUUGACGGUACCUGCAAAGGAAGCACCGGCUAACUCCGUGCCAGCAGCCGCGGUAAUACGGAGGGUGCGAGCGUUAAUCGGAAUUACUGGGCGUAAAGCGCUCGUAGGCGGUAUGGCAAGUCAAGUGUGAAAUCCCCGCGCUCAACGUGGGAACUGCCUUUGAAACUGGCAAACUGGAGUGUGUGAGAGGAUAGUGGAAUUCCAGGUGUAGGAGUGAAAUGCGUAGAUAUUGGGAGGAACAUCAGUGGCGAAGGCGACUAUCUGGCACAUAACUGACGCUGAGGAGCGAAAGCGUGGGUAGUAAACAGGAUUAGAUACCCUGGUAGUC